rnacentral:lncRNA from 1 species
GUUCACUACAUUCGAGCAUGCGUCCCAGUGGUUGGGGACAGUUAGUGGGUAUCCCGUGGAGGGAUAAGUCUUUUGGGUAAAAACGGGUAUAUUGGUUAAUAAUCUCACCUAUCAUUCUUGUAAGUCCCUUAUUAUGUUACCUGGAGGGUAACGGGUAUUAGUUGGUAGCGCUACUUAGGUUUGGCACCCUCACACCGCUCCUAGAGAGGACGGAUGUGAACUAAUGACCCAGUCGGGCCCAGUACUAGAUAGGAGUACGUGGGAAGGGUCUCCGUGAGCCGUCCGUGUUUGGAA